rnacentral:rRNA from 1 species
CCGGAUUAUUGGGCGUAAGCGCGCGUAGGCGGUUUUUUAAGUCUGAUGUGAAAGCCCACGGCUCAACCGUGGAGGGUCAUUGGAAACUGGAAAACUUGAGUGCAGAAGAGGAAAGUGGAAUUCCAUGUGUAGCGGUGAAAUGCGCAGAGAUAUGGAGGAACACCAGUGGCGAAGGCGACUUUCUGGUCUGUAACUGACGCUGAUGUGCGAAAGCGUGGGGAUCAAACAGGAUUAGAUACC